UGCUAGUGUCCUUGCCCGCUCAACCCAGCCUGACAGCCUCAGCGCCUCACAUGGCCCUCUGGCUCAUACAUAUGGAGGAGGAUAGGGAGAGGAGAGGAAUAACAACCACAGAAACCCUCAAUCCCUCAGUUCUUCUUCCUGAUAAUAGGCUCGACUGUCUGACCAAGGGACCCCACAUCAGUUGGAACCGAAAGAACAACCCAGACCCUUGGAACACAUACGGUCCACACUAUCAGUACAAGUUGGUGGCCGUCAAUAUGGACUACAAGGCUCUGAAGAAGGAGGGCCCUGACUUCUAAAGGUCCUUCAGGCAACUCCAGGAGCACCAAGUUUGGCAGGACCUCCUGUCAUCCUAGUGGCAGGGUCGGGGCAGCCUGAGCCUCGGUCGGGUCCUCUGUCUGUCCCCUCUGCUGUCUCUUCAGAAUGCACACCAUUUCAUAUGAACUGUCUUUUCCGUGCACUAACCUACAGUUAUAGAAGCAAUUGUCUGCAUGUGCACAGCAAAUAUUGUUAUUAUAACCUACCUGUCUCUUCAGACACCACCCUACAGUAUAAAUCUCUUCAUGCAUAAAAACCCUAAAGAGAUGUCAUGUAACAGGCUCUUUCACUUUCACAACCCUACAGUUAUUGUAACCUGUCUCUCUUCACGAUGCACAACAGCACUGUUAUAGAUCUGUCUCUUUAUUUUCAUGCACAGAAACCCUAAGGUGAUGUAUCCUUCUUCAUGCACAGCAACCCUAAAGUGAUGUAUCCUUCUUCAUGCACAGCAACCCUAAAGUGAUCUAUCCUUCUUCAUGCACAGCAACCCUAAAGUGAUGUAUCCUUCUUCAUGCACAGCAACCCUAAAGUGAUCUAUCCUUCUUCAUGCACAGCAACCCUAAAGUGAUGUAUCCUUCUUCAUGCACUGCAACCCUAAAGUGAUGUAUCCUUCUUCAUGCACAGCAACCCUAAAGUGAUGUAUCCUUCUUCAUGCACAACCCUGAUGUUACAUAACUGUUUCUUAACGCCAGCUUGAAAACAACACUAUUAAACAUC
ensembl:lncRNA